rnacentral:rRNA from 1 species
CAGUCGCCACGGUAAUACGAAGGGUGCAAGCGUUACUCGGAAUUACUGGGCGUAAAGCGUGCGUAGGUGGUGGUUUAAGUCCGUUGUGAAAGCCCUGGGCUCAACCUGGGAAUUGCAGUGGAUACUGGGUCACUAGAGUGUGGUAGAGGAUAGUGGAAUUUCCGGCGUAGCAGUGAAAUGCGUAGAGAUCGGAAGGAACAUCUGUGGCGAAGGCGACUAUCUGGGCCAACACUGACACUGAGGCACGAAAGCGUGGGGAGCAAACAGGAUUAGAUACCCGAGUAGUCCCUGUCUCUUAUAC